rnacentral:lncRNA from 1 species
GGCUAGACUUACCCUGGGAUCUUCUUCAUCGGGCGGGGGAGCCCUUGGCCCAACUGGGGCCCUCCGCUGCUUCUGGAGGGUCUGGGCUCUCACCAGUCUCUUGGCCCAAGAUUUGGGGUCCCGACGUGCCAUCAUCUUCGUCUCCUGGGGGUUUUAUGACCGCCUUUUUCAGGGGUGGACUGUUGGGCCACCUGAAACACACACAAACACACACAUGUCGAUGGUUAAGCACGUUGGAUAUUCACACACCCACAGGAAGCCACCUGCUAACUCCCUGCCUGUGUGGUCAUGAGGAGACCUCACCACCAGUCGGUCAAAUCUGUAGAACACAAUGUGCUGUGCGCAUCCUCGGAUAUUGUGUGUUCCUCUGCCAUGACUACCUAGUCCAAGAGUAAACCCCACCUGCCACAGGGCCCGUGGCCUAGGUAUGGGGGGUUGAGCUUUCAACCCCAAACAAACAACUGAUUCUGGAGACUGGACUUAGGUCUCUCACGAUUCACUCCGGUAGAAGACACGGUGAUUCUAUCUCCCUUGACGGACAGAAUGAUCGAAGACACAGGGCAUGGCGUGUGCCACCCUUUGGCAGGUCUGCUUGAAGUCACGGAUAAGGGAUGCUUCCUGUGACAACUUGAAUCGCUACUCUUGCCAUUUCAUUAGGCAACUUCCAAGCACAAAUUCAUACAGAGAAGUUACCUUCCUCUCUACCGCACUAGCAGGUGAGGAUCUUUCCUGUUCUAUCUUUUAGCUUUAGCUCCAGCCCCUCUUUAUUUAUUUUCCUGGUAUUUUACGCACACCACACGAAUUCAUCUGAACAAACGGGGAAGAAGUGCCGUAUCGUAUCGACGUCUUACACGGCUGAAGGGCAAACCCCCCUUUUUUCCAAAGUCUUUUUUCCAUUUACCCACCAAUUCAGCAUGCUGCAGUACAUUUCUUUUCCCAUUCCCAUCUUGGUCUUCUCCCACACGUGGAGACGGAUAUGUUGUCUCGUUUUCUGUUCCAAGAAUUACUAGUAACGAGAACACAUCCUACCCCACCAGCAAGCCCCAGUGUGAUCGGUUUCUUUCGGCCUCCUUUGUCUCUUCCUCCCCCACACCCCCCGCAAAUACCCCUCAGGGAUUGCGUGAAACAAACAAUUGUUCAGCGAAACUAACCUGAAAUUACACGUCUACUUUCAUUCCCAGGCUGGCGCUGAGAUGGGCAGGUGCUGCAGCAGCCCGGCUGGAAGCGAUGCAGCAUCCAGGACGACGGAGGAAGGGGCAGAGAGGGACCUCCGCUUUCCAGGCUGCCUUUUAUACUGCCUCUGGUCACCUGACAUGGAACGUACCCUAACCUAAUCAGUUACCUGUACCUUAAUUGCAAUUAACUUAAUCCAAUUACAUGACCUGGAAAGGUCUAUCUGCACAGCCCACUCUAAGAUCAUGUCCACUGCUGACAGACAUUCUAAAACCUACUUGUACAGCUGCAAGCUUUGAACAAUAGAUGUUCCCCGUCAGACAUGUAACACUGGUGCCUGUACCCCUGUCUUCUUUUCCAUCUUUUUUGUUGUUUUGUUUUGUUUUGUUUUAAAAAAUGUGGUAAAAUAGACACCUUUUAAUUGGACCACAUUUUGUCUAUCUCGACGUAGGCCUCAGUGUCAUCAAGGAGACUCUCCUUGACAUGCAGUCACGGCCAUGAUCCAUCUUCAGAGCUUCUCUUUCUUCCCCAAGGUAAGUCUGUCAGCAGAGAACCCUGACCGCACCCUCAUGUGUUUUCUCCCCCAGGAGGCGCUUGGAAACAACCGUGAAUUGGACCGCACUGGGAAACACAGAUGAGGAAAGUCAACAACGCUUUGUCCUUCAGUGCCUGGCUCCUUUUUCAGCUCCUCUUGCGACUCCAGGCAUUAUGCCUGAAAAGUCUCCCGGACGCCUGUGAGGCUGUAAUUCCCUGGGUCCCAUUGCCAUGUCUCUGGAUUUGCGAAGAUCCACCGCACCUUCUGUGGAACUCCCGUGUCGGUGAACUUUUGUGCCACGGCCCCUAAUUCUGCCCAUGGUCAUCCGCACCUGCACGACUUAGGGUCCAUGUUCCUUGGACGGGAAGAGACAGGCAGGAGUCGGAAUGAUGAACCAGCACACUGGGGCGUUUUCUCAUGUAGCCCAAGUGACCCCAUGGUCUUCUCGAGCUUUGGAACCAGUCGCGUCCCCUUUGACACUGCACCCGGCUCCCAGUCACUCAAUCUUGUUGGCCCUCCGGCGAUCUCCCGUUGGAUGAAUUGCUCCUGCUGAAACUCGAGUCCCCUUUGAUUUGCGCUUCAUUAAUUAUUCAUGAUUCAGGUUGGAAGGCCUGCUGACGACCCCCUGUGGCCGUUCUCUGAGCUUUCCUGUCACAUCGUUUCCUUCCACGCUCUUUGGUUCCUUACGGUCCUGCUCCUUCUGCUGUCAGAGGAGCAGAGAGUUGAUCUUAUUCAUUCUGGAUACGGAUACUUUCUAGGUGAUCUGGAUAAUCAAGAUAACGACCCUCAACAGCGGCGGAGAGGGAGCAGCCAGUUGGUGUGUCUCAGAAAAUCCCGCUGAGUUCCGAGGCCUCCUAGAUGUGGAAUCCUGCUGAGAGUUGUUCCCAGGUCAGAGAAUGGAGAGAGCCUGUGCAUGAUGGGAUAUCCCCGCCUAGAUCUUUCAGUGAGUCUCUGCCUCAGCUACUCUUAGGAUCAGGGGGAGAACCAUGGUGUCAGACAUCCGGAAAGAAGACGGGAUGAAUGUUUUACCUCUGAAGUACAUCCCAAAUGUGGGAGUUAACUUCAGCUUUGCUGGGGUCUAUUUGGCCAGUGAAACUCUGCCUGGUUCCUUCGCACAUCCGGAAGCCACUUCACGGGGGGCCGUCGCAACUGGAACCACACACUUGGCAUCGGCGGUUGAGCCAAAUGGGGACUCGUGGUGCAAGCAACGCUCCCCACGUGUUAGCGUGCGUGAGAUUCGGUUGGCGGAAUUUUACUAGGUGCGUGUUGGUAGAGUGGGGCUGAGGUUUUCUUGCUCCUGUGGAUGUAUAGGAAGUCAAAGGUCCUGCCCAGCCCUGCGGUCCCCUCAGUCAACUCUGUUUCGGAGACGUAACGAUUUGGAUUGCCAACAAGUCAAGAAAUGUUCAAGCCCUUGGAUGUAGGGUAAAGAAAGAGAGAUCAGACUGUCACUGUGUCUAUGUAGAAGGGGAAGACAUAAGAGACUCCAUUUUGAAAAAGACCUGUAGUUUAAACAAUUGCUUUGCUGAGAUGUUGUUCAUUUGUUGCCUUGCCGCAGCCCCUUCCUUUGACCCAACUUGGAGCUCACAAAAACCUGUGUUGUAUAAAAUCGAGGUUUAAGGGAUCUAGGGCUGUGCAGGACGCGCCUUGUUAACCAAAUGUUUACGAGCAGUAUACUUGGUAGAAGUCAUUGCCAUUCUCUAGUCUCAAUAAACCAGGGGUGCAAUGCACCGUGGAAAGCCACAGGGACCUCUGCCCUUGAAAGCAGGGUAUUGUCCAAGGUUUCUCCCCAUGUGACAGUCUGAAAUAUGGCCUCGUGGGAUGGGAAAGUCCUGAAUGUCCCCUAGCCUGACACCCGCAAUGGGUCUGUGCUGAGGUGGAUUAGUCAAAGAGGAACGCCUCUUGCAGUUCAGAUGGAGGAAGGCCACUGUCUCCUGCUUGCCCCUGGGAACUGAAUGUCUCGGUGUAAAGCCCGAUCGUACAUUUGUUCAACUCUGAGCUCGGCGAAAAGCUGCCCUGUGGCGGGAGGCGAGACAUGCUGGCAGUAAUGCUGCCUUGUUAUUCUU